GAGGGUAUAGCUCAGAAGGAGAGCACGUGCAUAGCGCGCCUGAGGUCCUGGGCUCAAUCCCCAGUACCCCUA
rnacentral:tRNA from 1 species